UACGGGGGGGGCAAGCGUUGUUCGGAAUUACUGGGCGUAAAGGGCUCGUAGGUGGCCAACUAAGUCAGACGUGAAAUCCCUCAGCUUAGCUGGGGAACUGCGUCUGAUACUGGAUGGCUUGAGAUUGGGAGAGGGAUGCGGAAUUCCAGGUGUAGCGGUGAAAUGCGUAGAUAUCUGGAGGAACACCGGUGGCGAAGGCGGCAUCCUGGACCAACACUGACACUGAGGAGCGAAAGCCAGGGGAGCAAACGGG
rnacentral:rRNA from 1 species